AUUGAACGCUGGCGGCAGGCUUAACACAUGCAAGUCGAGCGCCCCGCAAGGGGAGCGGCAGACGGGUGAGUAACGCGUGGGAAUCUACCCAUCUCUACGAAUAACGCAUGGAAACGUGUGCUAAUACCGUAUACGUCCUUCGGGAGAAAGAUUUAUCGGAGAUGGAUGAGCCCGCGUUGGAUUAGCUAGUUGGUGGGGUAAAGGCCUACCAAGGCGACGAUCCAUAGCUGGUCUGAGAGGAUGAUCAGCCACACUGGGACUGAGACACGGCCCAGACUCCUACGGGAGGCAGCAGUGGGGAAUAUUGGACAAUGGGCGCAAGCCUGAUCCAGCCAUGCCGCGUGAGUGAUGAAGGCCCUAGGGUUGUAAAGCUCUUUCACCGGUGAAGAUAAUGACGGUAACCGGAGAAGAAGCCCCGGCUAACUUCGUGCCAGCAGCCGCCGUAACAC
rnacentral:rRNA from 1 species